CAAUAGCGUAUAUUAAAGUUGUUGCAGUUAAAAAGCUCGUAGUUGGAUUUCUGGUCGGAAGCUCCUGUCCUCUGAUGAGCGUACAAGUGCGUCCUACCAUCCUUCUGUUAACCUUUAAGGCUUUCGCGGCUUUCUAGGGGCUCAGAUAUUUUACCUUGAGAAAAUUAGAGUGUUUCAGGCAGGCUAGCGCCGGAAUACAUUAGCAUGGAAUAAUGGAAUAGGACUUUUGCCUCUUCUGUUGGUCAUGAGGCUCGAGUAAUGAUUAAUAGGGAUAGUUGGGGGCAUUAGUACUUAACUGUCAGAGGUGAAAUUCUCGGAUUUGUUAAAGACUAGCUUAUGCGAAAGCAUUUGCCAAGGAUGUUUUCAUUAA
rnacentral:rRNA from 1 species